rnacentral:sRNA from 2 species
UUUCCAACAUCGCUGAGUUUCCGCAAGGGAAACGGGGGAACCACAUCACGGCAGAUCGGCUUGGUCGAUUCCGGGAUGUUUUUUUAGGGGUGAAUCCUUGGUGUGCAUGAUAUUUAAUGUGCGCGCUGGGGUAGGGCGACUCUCAAGUCCGAAUCCGUCAGCUAACCUCGUAAGCGUCCAGAGAGAGGUAAC